rnacentral:rRNA from 1 species
CAGAUGGGAUUAGCUAGUAGGUGGGGUAAUGGCUCACCUAGGCGACGAUCCCUAGCUGGUCUGAGAGGAUGACCAGCCACACUGGAACUGAGACACGGUCCAGACUCCUACGGGAGGCAGCAGUGGGGAAUAUUGCACAAUGGGCGCAAGCCUGAUGCAGCCAUGCCGCGUGUGUGAAGAAGGCCUUCGGGUUGUAAAGCACUUUCAGCGAGGAGGAAGGGUUCAGUGUUAAUAGCACUGUUCAUUGACGUUACUCGCAGAAGAAGCACCGGCUAACUCCGUGCCAGCAGCCGCGGUAAUACGGAGGGUGCAAGCGUUAAUCGGAAUUACUGGGCGUAAAGCGCACGCAGGCGGUUUGUUAAGUCAGAUGUGAAAUCCCCGCGCUUAACGUGGGAACUGCAUUUGAAACUGGCAAGCUAGAGUCUUGUAGAGGGGGGUAGAAUUCCAGGUGUAGCGGUGAAAUGCGUAGAGAUCUGGAGGAAUACCGGUGGCGAAGGCGGCCCC